rnacentral:lncRNA from 1 species
UUGGGCCACGGUAGUGUUGGAGCCCUUGUUUGAAUACUGACAUUUUAAUCAUAGUUACACCGACGUUGACCAAUUAUCGGGGAAGCAACGUUUCUGACGCAAAUCCGUGAGCCCAUUUGAUUCCUUGGUCGAUUUUUUAUACCGAGUAUUUAAGCCAUUUCCAUUUUUCUCCCAUUUUAAUUACUUUGCAGAAAUUUUCAUCGUGGUCAGUUUUUUACUUUGUAGACUCAGUACUUUUCUGCUGACAAAAAAGGUAAACGAAUAUGGCCAGAAGAACCAUCUCCACCACCCACUUAUUUCCGGGCUAGAGGCAUCCCCCUCCUCUCUAUUUUGUUUACCUGUAUUUCUGCCCUGCUACCCAGGGAUAUGAUUUGCAGUAUGAUUCGUCUCCCAGGGUUUCGUUUCUCUUUUUUUUUUUUUUUUUUUUUUUUUUUGCCAUAUAA